GAUGAACGCUGGCGGCGUGCCUAACACAUGCAAGUCGAGCGAUUCUCUUCGGAGAAGAGCGGCGGACGGGUGAGUAACGCGUGGGUAACCUGCCCUGUACACACGGAUAACAUACCGAAAGGUAUGCUAAUACGAGAUGAUAUGCUUUUAUCGCAUGGUAGAAGUAUCAAAGCUUUUGCGGUACAGGAUGGACCCGCGUCUGAUUAGCUAGUUGGUAAGGUAACGGCUUACCAAGGCGACGAUCAGUAGCCGACCUGAGAGGGUGAUCGGCCACAUUGGAACUGAGACACGGUCCAAACUCCUACGGGAGGCAGCAGUGGGGAAUAUUGCACAAUGGGCGAAAGCCUGAUGCAGCAACGCCGCGUGAGCGAUGAAGGCCUUCGGGUCGUAAAGCUCUGUCCUCAAGGAAGAUAAUGACGGUACUUGAGGAGGAAGCCCCGGCUAACUACGUGCCAGCAGCCGCGGUAAUAC
rnacentral:rRNA from 1 species